rnacentral:rRNA from 1 species
UGGGGAAUAUUGGACAAUGGGGGAAAGCCUGAUCCAGCCAUGCCGCGUGUGUGAAGAAGGUCUUCGGAUUGUAAAGCACUUUAAGUUGGGAGGAAGGGCAUUAACCUAAUACGUUAGUGUUUUGACGUUACCGACAGAAUAAGCACCGGCUAACUCUGUGCCAGCAGCCGCGGUAAUACAGAGGGUGCAAGCGUUAAUCGGAAUUACUGGGCGUAAAGCGCGCGUAGGUGGUUUGUUAAGUUGGAUGUGAAAUCCCCGGGCUCAACCUGGGAACUGCAUUCAAAACUGACUGACUAGAGUAUGGUAGAGGGUGGUGGAAUUUCCUGUGUAGCGGUGAAAUGCGUAGAUAUAGGAAGGAACACCAGUGGCGAAGGCGACCACCUGGACUAAUACUGACACUGAGGUGCGAAAGCGUGGGGAGCAAACA